UACGGAGGGGGCUAGCGUUGUUCGGAAUUACUGGGCGUAAAGAGCGCGUAGGCGGCGUACCAAGUUGGGGGUGAAAUCCCGGAGCUCAACUACGGAACUGCCUUCAAAACUGGGAGGCUCGAGUCUGGAAGAGGUGCGUGGAAUUGCGAGUGUAGAGGUGAAAUUCGUAGAGAUUGGGAAGAACACCGGUGGCGAAGGCGGCGAACUGGUCCGGUACUGACGAUGAGGCGCGAAAGAGUGGGGAGCAAACAGG
rnacentral:rRNA from 1 species